rnacentral:rRNA from 1 species
AAUAUUGGACAAUGGGGGCAACCCUGAUCCAGCCAGGCCCCGUGUGUGAAGAAGGCCUUGGGAUUGUACAGCACCUUAAGUUGGGAGGAAGGGCAUUAGGUUAAUACCCUGAGGUUCGGACGUUACCAACAGAACAAGCACCGGCCAACUAUGUGCCAGCAGCCGCGGUAAUACAGAGGGUGCAAGCGUUAAGCGGAAUUACGGGGCGUAAAGCGCGCGUAGGUGGUUCAGUAAGAUGGGUGUGAAAUCCCCGGGCUUAACCUGGGAACUGCUUUCAUAACUGCUGAGCUAGAGUACGGUAGAGGGUAGUGGAAUUUCCUGUGGAGCGGUGAAAUGCGUAGAUAUAGGAAGAAACACCAGUGGCAAAGGCGACUACCUGGACUGAUACUGACGCUGAGGUGCGAAAGCGUGGGGAGCAAAC